rnacentral:rRNA from 1 species
UAAAAUCCGUAGAGAUCAGAAGGAAUCCCGACAGCGAAGGCGAUCUACUGGAACAUUAUUGACGCUGAGACGCGAAAGCGUGGGGAGCAAACAGGAUUAGAUACCCUGGUAGUCCACGCCCUAAACGAUGUACACUAGUUGUUGUGAGGCUAGACCUUGCAGUAAUGCAGUUAACACAUUAAGUGUACCGCCUGGGGAGUACGGUCGCAAGAUUAAAACUCAAAGGAAUAGACGGGGACCCGCACAAGCGGUGGAGCAUGUGGUUUAAUUCGACGAUACGCGAAGAACCUUACCUGGACUUGACAUAGAAAGAAUAACGCAGAGAUGUGAUAGUGCUAGCUUGCUAGAACUUUCAUACAGGUGCUGCACGGCUGUCGUCAGCUCGUGUCGUGAGAUGUUGGGUUAAGUCCCGCAACGAGCGCAACCCUCGUCGUUAGUUGCUAACAGUUCGGCUGAGAACUCUAACGAGACUGCCUGGGUAACCAGGAGGAAGGUGAGGACGACGUCAAGUCAUCAUGGCCCUUACGUCCAGGGCUACACACGUGCUACAAUGGGGCAUACAAAGAGCAGCGAUACCGCGAGGUGGAGCAAAUCUCAAAAAUGCCUCCCAGUUCGGAUAGUAGUCUGCAACUCGACUACUUGAAG